GGUAGCACUGGGGUCGGUGGGGGCUCAUUUGAGCCUCUCCCCCCGGAAGUGGCUGGGCCCCAGUGAGACAAAGGACUCGCUGCGGGGGCACACGUGGGUGAGGCCAGCCUACGACUUGACCAACCAGCUACCUAUAGCGUGAGGCAGAAGAAGAGAAUGGCUAGGAGAGUACAAAGAUGGAAUGCUCUUCAUCCAGCGCCCCGUGGAGUGGAUGGAGCUGGCUCCGAGGCCACCUGCGAGCCUCUGCUCGCUGCUGCCCCCGAGAGAAGAGUAUAAAGAUGGAAUGCUGUUCUGGCAGGAAUUUGUGUGGCUAAACCGUCUGUGAAAUGACACCAGGGAGUUUUGCCCAGAUUCAUAGAUUGUAGAGUCGGAAGGGACUACAAUGGAUCAU